CCCUCGAUAGCUCAGUGGCAGAGCGGAGGACUGUAGAUGUUACAACGGUGAUCCUUAGGUCGCUGGUUCAAAUCCGGCUCGAGGGA
rnacentral:tRNA from 1 species